GAUUCUGCCCUACGGGGAAGGAUGAGAAGCUUCGACCAAGGUUCGACUCGAGCGUAGCGAGAGAACGUUGCCGCAGGCAACGGCCCGAAGGGCGAGGAGCGAUAGCGACGAGUUAUCCUUCCCCCUCUAUUC
rnacentral:sRNA from 1 species